rnacentral:rRNA from 1 species
UACGAAGGGUGCAAGCGUUACUCGGAAUUACUGGGCGUAAAGCGUGCGUAGGUGGUUCGUUAAGUCUGAUGUGAAAGCCCUGGGCUCAACCUGGGAAUGGCAUUGGAUACUGGCGACCUAGAGUGCGGUAGAGGGGUGUGGAAUUCCCGGUGUAGCAGUGAAAUGCGUAGAUAUCGGGAGGAACAUCUGUGGCGAAGGCGACACCCUUGGCCAGGACUGACACUGAAGCACCAAAGCGUUGGGAGUAAACGGG